CCUACGGGGGGCUGCAGUGGGGAAUAUUGGACAAUGGGCGAAAGCCUGAUCCAGCCAUGCCGCGUGUGUGAAGAAGGCCUUCGGGUUGUAAAGCACUUUCAGUGGGGAAGAAAGCCUUGGGGCUAAUACCCUCGAGGGAGGACAUCACCCACAGAAGAAGCACCGGCUAACUCCGUGCCAGCAGCCGCGGUAAUACGGAGGGUGCGAGCGUUAAUCGGAAUUACUGGGCGUAAAGCGCGCGUAGGCGGUCUGAUAAGCCGGUUGUGAAAGCCCCGGGCUCAACCUGGGAACGGCAUCCGGAACUGUCAGGCUAGAGUGCAGGAGAGGAAGGUAGAAUUCCCGGUGUAGCGGUGAAAUGCGUAGAGAUCGGGAGGAAUACCAGUGGCGAAGGCGGCCUUCUGGACUGACACUGACGCUGAGGUGCGAAAGCGUGGGUAGCAAACAGGAUUAGAUACCCGGGUAGUC
rnacentral:rRNA from 1 species